CAACAAAAAUGCCGAGAAGAAAUUGGAGGUAAUAACUGUUUUAGUUAAUUGCUUUUUUCAGUUGUAAAAUUGGCAUGGAUGAUCUAAAAUAAUCGGGUGUUUACAACAAUGAUAAAGUAGAUUAGCCUCCGUUUGGUUGCUGAGAAAUGGUAGGAAAAUAAGUAAAAUUGUGACUCCAAAUUUUUCAUGUUGGACCUUUAAUCAACUAUAAUAGUAAGCUUAUACAACUUUAGUUCUUUUCUUUUAGAGGGCUGAAUAUUUUGUAAUUUUCUCGAGAACCAAACAGACGGUUCUGCUGCUAGGUAUGUGGAAAUAGAGCGAUUGCUUGUAUCGGUGUUUGAAGUAUUUGUAUUGCCUGCAAAAGUGAAAAAUUUGUGUUACAUUUUAUCUCUUUAAAUCGAGAAAAAUACUUCUAAAUGGUUUUCACUGGAAGCGAAAGGAAGCUGGAGAUAGAGUUGGGGUUUGUGCCCAUGGCUGAGCAGAGUAUCAAGUAACCUAAUCCAAGCCCCUUUCUUGAAUGGCCUGCAGGAUAUUCGGGGAUGGGCUCAGAUUGCUAUGGCUUCAAAGAAUUGGUUUGUCUUGUUGGGAAGUUAGUGAUAAACAUCUGCCCCUCUUUCUCUUGCUUGGACCAUUAAUAAUGACACUGUUUGUUGUUGUUGAUCUUUAUUGUAUGUCUCUAGGUUAUAAUGCCAAUGACUUGGAUUCAGAUGAUUGGAAGAGCUAUGAAAAUUAAAGAGAAAAAUACUUUCCUGUCAAAUUCCACCAUGAAAAAGUGAGUUCAAUUUGCUACCACUUCUUUCCUAUUUGCAGAAGUGGCAAAUCAAUUUGUUUCAUUUGAUUGGAGACUUGUGAGCCUUAUGCAUUUUAUAAACUAGUUAUGUUGGGUUACGCACUAAUGCAAAAGCCUCUAUAUAUGGAGCAUUGGCCACACCCUAUUCGCUAUAAUUUUAAGCCGCACUUUCUCCACUUUAUGUUUUUCCUUUUGGUCCGCAUUUUAUAUGCUGUGUCUUCAAUAAUUUCCUACAAUAAUUGCCUCUUGAAUAUUGAACCGAAGUUCUACGCCCUUGGUACACUAGGACACUUUCAAUGGUUGAAAAUGAUGGUAUCGGGUCAUUGACUCAGGAGGUCCUGUUGUAUGUCAGUCUUGGUAUUUAAUGAUAUGCACAAUAUGCUAUUGUAGAAGCAUUCAUAGAGGGUUUAGAAAUCUUAUGGCGUGUUUGCAUGCCAACUGUUUGAUUUUAUUGCACUGUUGGUUUGGUGGAACACCCAUCAAAUGAUCAAAAUCGCUUUCAGUAGGAGGAUUCAGAUUAAUAUUCUCAUGCACCCCUUGAUGCAUAACAAGAGACGAUUCACAGACUUUAUUUGUUUUUAUAUGUAUGAGGAGGUAUAUUUGGUGAUGUGGUACUAAAUUUGUGGUAAAAGUCUGACAACUGGCAAAUGCUAAUGUCUGGUCCCCUAACAAUUCAACAUUAAUUAGUGAGUUUUGAAGAAAAUACAUACAGAUAUAUGCACCUACCCGCUUUCCUGUUUGAUAUCUAGUGAAUGGUGGAGUUGGCACACAUCACAUCUCACUCCCUCCCCCUGUGUAUGAUAUGGCAGGGGAAAGGAUGCCACUGCCAAUUGCCAACCUAUGAGGCUCAAACAUCCUAAUAAAUUGUCCACUAAAUUAAGCUAAUCAACUUUCCAAGUUGACCUCCAUUGGUUUAUUCUAUUGACUUAUCAGUCAACAAAAAAUCUGUACAGCUAGUUUCCUUCUGAUUAUGAGUGGCUUUUUAACUAACUCACUGUUAUUAAUGUAUUAUUCUCUGCCUAGGAAAAUACAUGGGUUUUAGCACUUCAUAAUGCGUUUUGUUGACAUAGCAGUGUUGAAAAGAUCUGUCCUGAAAUCGUUUUGAUUCUAAAAAUGGGUGAUUGGGCCUCUCUUCUGGAGUAAUGUUCUGUUGUCUCUUAAAAUUUAAGCAGUAGUAGAAAUAUGGGGAUUCAAACAAAAUGGUAUCUAGGAUCCGCCUAGAUUACACUAUACCAAAGAAUUUGCACAUUUUUUAUCAUAAAAUAUUUGCACUAUCGCUCCACUAGAUUGUCUAUUUUAAUCUCCUCCCAAAUCACAAAAAGCUUCAAUAAGCAUGAGGGGGAGAAUAACUUGACCACCAUGAGAAGAUUGAAACCAAGAUAUGAUUCGUCCACAGCCAGAGUUUAUAUUCAUUUCUUAUCAUGAUUGAUCUAUAAUUCAGAUUGAAAAUCUUAAACAAAAACAUUAUUGACUAUUCUAGUUUGCUUAAUUUAACGAUCUAGAGCUAGGUUUCCUACAGUGUGAUGUAGCUCAUUUUUAUAUCAUAUGCUAUUAGUCCCUUGAAAAGCAUUGCUCCAUUAGAUGGUGGCAUAUGCUCUGUUUGGGUAGAUCUAUGAAACUGUAACGAAGUUGUUCAUCACCAACCAUUUUUAAUAAAGAAAGGAAAGAAAAUUAGGAAUGGAAAGAAAAGAGGGUUGGUGAACUUUAGGCAUGCAAGUUGCAGGAGGUGUUCAUUCAUGAUUAAUUAUUAAUUCUUUCCUGAAUCAAAUCUUUGCACAGGAUCAAGGGAAUAUGAGCUCAUAGAUUUUCCUUUUGUUUAUCUAUUUCCUCACACUUAAUUUAUGCUCCUAACAUGUCCUAAAGUUCUCAACUACACAAAGAUGGGUGCUUCUCUCCAGUAAGUGUCUCCUUUCUCUAUUAUUUGAACUCAUGUAUUUGUGUAUAUAAAUGCUAUAAAAAUACUGUUUUUUUUUUCAGGUUAUGGAUCAUAGCAUUAUUUGAUACAAAAUACUGAACCCAAGUUUUCUUUCUCUUUAUUCUUUUUAAUGUCCAAAUCGAUAUUUCAGAGUCUUUAUAGAUCCAAAUGUAGGACCAAGCAUGCUUGGAAAAGUCUGCUGUUCAACCUUUUUCAGUCAAAGGCAGAAGUGGCAUUGAAAAGGUGACCCCUCACCAACUUGUGGGUGACCAGAGGGCAGAGAGAACCCAUAAAGAGGGCUUCUCAAAGGACCACGGAUUUAAAGGGUCAUGGGAAGAAUUAUAUAUAUAUAUGGCACCAUGAGAAGAUUCUGGGAAGUUUUGCUGGCUUUCCAAGGAGACAACAACAACAAAGACAGGUAUAUUUGAUUUGCAUAUGGUCUUCACUUUAUAGUAUUCAAAGGGCUUUUGGGAGAUAUGGAUUUUACUUUAUUGAUUUAUUCAUGUACCAUCUCUCAAUCAUGCUUAAAGAUUUCAUUUGUUUACUAAUUAAAAAAUGCGUCAACCUUUUAAGGUUCUUUCUAGUAGUUGAAAG